GCCCGGCUAGCUCGAUCGGUAGAGCGUGAGACUCUUAGUACUCCCCUCCCUCCCUAGGGCAGGCCUUCAACUCAAGACUCAAGGGUUGACAGACACGGAUACUUUGGUACCAUCUCAAGGUUGUGGGUUCGACCCCCACGUCGGGCU